rnacentral:rRNA from 1 species
GACGAACGCUGGCGGCGUGGAUUAGGCAUGCAAGUCGGACGGUAGGGCUUUAUCGUAAGAUAGAGUUUGAGAGUGGCGAACGGGUGAGUAACACGUAGGAAUCUACCCUUAAGACGGGGACAACCCAGGGAAACUUGGGCUAAUACCGGAUGAGAGUGCGAGAGAUUGCAUUUAAAAGGAUGGCGAAAGUUGUCGCUUUAGGGAUGAGCCUGCGGUCUAUUAGUUAGUUGGUGAGGUAAGAGCUCACCAAGGCGAUGAUAGAUAGGCGGCCUUAACGGGUGGUCGCCCACACUGGGAUUGAGAUACGGCCCAGACUCCUACGGGAGGCAGCAGUGGGGAAUAUUGCGCAAUGGGGGAAACCCUGACGCAGCGACGCCGCGUGAGCGAAGAAGGCCUUAGGGUCGUAAAGCUCUGUUGUAAGGGACGAAUGUUUAUCUGGCGAACAGUCAGAUAAAGUGACGGUACCUUACCAGCAAGCCCCGGCUAACUACGUGCCAGCAGCCGCGGUAAUCAUACUCG